rnacentral:rRNA from 1 species
UACGAAGGGGGCUAGCGUUGCUCGGAAUCACUGGGCGUAAAGCGCACGUAGGCGGAUCUUUAAGUCAGGGGUGAAAUCCUGGGGCUCAACUCCAGAACUGCCUUUGAUACUGAAGAUCUUGAGUUCGGGAGAGGUGAGUGGAACUGCGAGUGUAGAGGUGAAAUUCGUAGAUAUUCGCAAGAACACCAGUGGCGAAGGCGGCUCACUGGCCCGAUACUGACGCUGAGGCACGAAAGCGUGGGGAGCAAACAGG